ensembl:lncRNA
AUGUCUUUAGAACUUGGAGGCUCCAUGUCCAAGGGAGAAAGAGCAGGUUUCAGACUGAGAAAGCAGAGCCCGACUGUGUCGCUCUGUUUACAUGGGGUGUGCUCUUACAGCCAGCUUCUACUGAUGGCAGAGGAUGCAGUUUUCCAUUUCUGGAGGAGCCUUGCUCUUCCCCACAGAGACGUGUUUGCAUCUAGAGGGAGAAUUGUGAGUAAAAGCAAUGACUGCAUUUUGCACAUGUGGACUCCCCCAUGGAAAAGUGCGGAGCCCAAGCCAGGCACAGGAUCCGAAAUGAAGGUGAGUCACAGGACCGUCGCACGCUCAGGCUGCCCUCAGAGAAAUAGGUGAUGGAGACUCUUCCUCUUUCCGCAACUAACAAGAAUCCUAUCUUAAAGAGAAGUGUUUCCUUUUGUGAGUGUGUGAGACAGAGUCUCACUGAGAUGUCGAGGCUGGAGUGCAAUGGCGCGAUCUCGGCAACCUUGGCUUUGCUUCUCAGGUUCAAGCUAUUUUCCUGCGUCAGUCAGCCUCCCAAGUAGCUGGGAUUCCAGGUGCGCGCCACCAUGGCUGGCUGAUUUUUGCAUUUUUAGUUGAUACAGGGGUUUCACCAUAUUGGCCAGGCUUGUCUCUAACUCCCAGUCUCAAGUGAUCCACCCACUUUGGCCUCCCAAAAUACUGGAAUUACAGGCAUGAGCCAUUGCACCCAGCCUGUUUCCUUUUUUAGUUUUAAAUUUGGCAGUCAGAAUUUUAUAUGUUGCUGCAAAAGACAUGAAAAAAUCGGAAGAAUCGCAUAAGAUCGCUCCCUGCUGUGCUUGCUGUCGCUUGGCAUCUAUCAGGGGCACCGAUCUUCAGCGGUGGCGGUAACUUCAUGGCCCGCGCUCCUCAGUGAGGCCACACACGUGCAGUGCAGUUGCACCAUGCAACGCAAAUGUGCAACAUUUACCCAACAAAUGCACCUCUUUUCCAGAAACUGUACACCGUAGACAUUGAAAGGAAUGCUGGGACCUCCAAAACCUGCAGUUGCAUUUCUGGUAGAUGGCAGCUCACUGUCAUCCUGCAGACACAGAUGAAACCGCAGGACGGGGUCCGAACCGGGAGCACUAGCAAGUUAACAGCACCAACAUCCAGCACAGCAGAAUCUCCUGGUCGCAGGGAGCAAGGAGCAAAAACACGGCCAGAAACAGCUUCCCAGAUGUUCAAUGAAGGACAUUUAAACGAGACAUUCACCAUCUGGUUAAUAACACAGCACUGAGCGGGACUUAGUAACGAUAUCCCAAGACUUAAAUCCAUUCUUUUCCCUGAGCAUUAAACUGCUUCUCCAUUUGCCCUAUGAAAACAGGCGAUGAAUAAAUGUUUGUUCAACCUCAUCCCUGUCAAAGUCAUUGGUCUUUAGAAAAAAAAUAUGUGUAUAUAUAUAUAUAUAUAUAUAUAUAUAUAUAUAUACACACACACACACACACACACACACACACACACACACAGUUUAUAUACAUACAUAUGAAGUGUCUUCACUGUGGGCUCAACAAAACUCUCUGUAGCGCAUGUGAUGAUCGGCCUUUGCCACAGCGCACAGGAGACAGGAAGUCAGAGCUGCCCAUGAAUUCCCCACCUUGUUAAUUUUAUCAAAGCACAGAUAAUCUGAAAACAGGAAAGAUGCUAUAAAUGGUGGUUCUGUUUGUGGAUCCAUCUUGCAGCUGGUGUGACCAGUAUCUACCCAGCCAGAGGGCAAGAGAGGGAAGGGCUUGAGAUGUCUCUAAAUUCCUCUCUUCCUUUGCUUUCUAAGUCCUUAUCCUGCUGGGCUUGCAGCCUGCUUUGGGGUCCUUCAGGCCCCCCAUCCACCCUGUAGGCCAAGUGGUGCUGAACCUUUCACUGUGGGCUUGCGGUCAUUCUGGGGCCACUGCACUUCCAGGAGCUGCAGCCUUGAGAGGGUCCUCAAC